GCCAAAAUGGGAUAGUGGUUUGAGUGUUGGACUAUGACUCUGGAGACCAGGCUCAAUUCCCAUUUUGGCC